GGCUGGGCAGGAAGCACGCCCGGCUCGGCCUCCCCACCCUGCCCUCGCCUCGCUCGGCCCGCCCGCCCGCACGCCCGCCCGGGAUGCCGCUGGGCCUGGCCGCCUCGCGGCGCGCCGCGUCUGCCAGACGGCCGGCCCCCGGUGGCCUCAUCGUGGCCCCCUGGGGAUUGGUCCACCAGCACGACCCACACUCGCUGUGUGGGCGGCGGGCCCAGCUUAGGACUCAGCCCUUCCCUCAGAGAGCUGCCUCUCCAGCAGGGUGCAGAGGAGAAGCAAUGAAGAUUUUGAGGCGGCUAUAAUUGGGAUUGUAUCAUUCAUUCAUCAAACAUUUAUUGACCACCUACAAUGUGCGAGGCUAUGUUAAGCGCUAGCGACACCGUCCUGCACUCAUGUGGUUUUCAGUCUAGCUCAGUCACUUCACUCUGGCAGCCAGUGUGAUGAAGGUACUAGAGGGAGCCCAGCUGAGAGACAACAGCCUGACCUAAGAAGGUUUGGAGACUGAUGGGACUGGAGGAGGCAGACAAUGUGGAGAUUUCCUCAAGGUGAGCCUUGAGCAAAAGGUAACUUCACUGCCCAAAUCUGCAAAGAGCACCUGGGAGUGGAGGUUGCCAGCCACACUCACCGCUGGUAGGGAUGCAUUGAAGCUGACUUGAUGUUGGUUUUUAUUCCACUUGGCAUUUUCCCUGAAAGGAACACGAAGAAAGACAUCUGAAGCAAGCUUGGAAGAAAUACCUCUUCGAGCUGCUUGCAUCUGAACUCCUCCAGACUGUCCUCAUAAAUACUAAAAGUGAGCAGGAGAAAAGGCAGGAAGCUAAGAGCAAGAGAGACAAGAUACAGAGAAAAAAUACAUGUAGGACUGGAAACUUGCCUGCCUAUCAAUUCCUGAUGCACCUACCAAAUGGUCUUGAUUAAGGUUUGGCCACUGAUUUCUCUACAUAAGAAGAGACACUGACAACACACCUAAUAUCCAAAGUAAAUGGCAUAGAAGGAGAGUUGAGACAGAGGUCUGAGAUGGGAUAGGUGAAAGCAGCUGCUGCUACUCAAAAGUUCUUCCUUACUCUCUGGUACCUGCUGCAGUCUUAGGUGAGAUUUUUUACUUCCUAAAUCUGUUUCUGGGUCACAGGGCAAAGGAGAAAAUCCCCAAGCCUGGGGAUGCAGAAGGACCCAGAUGAUCCAGCUCAUUCCCACUCCACUCUCAAAGUCAGCUAUAUUUCAACCCCUGUCACCUUACCUGGUUGACCUGCUUGAGCCAUUUGCACCCCACUGAGCAUCGGCUGCUGCUGGCUUGGAGCUCCUGCCAUCUGCACCUGCUGUAAUCCUGAGGAUCCUGCAAGGAUUGUCCCAGCUCCUGGCUGGCCUGGUUGGCCAGGACCACUGCUGCCUGAAGGUCUCCAAUUAGACAGCCCCUUCCCAAAGGCAACAGCUGCCACCAAAGCACUGGUGUCUGCAGGGUUAAAGGUCUGUUUGUUUGGCCGGAGACCUGAAGAAAAAGUAAGUAGGGACCCUGAAAUAUGCCUCUGCCCUCGACUGAACCUAACAGCUGGAAGACAAGUAUGUGUGUUGGGGUUUGGACCUCUGACUUCAGCAUCAUCUAGAAUCCCUCACAGUCCAGGGGAAGAACCAGAGGACCCCAAGCCUAUCUCAAAAUUCUCCCUUCCCACUUUGCUCAUUUCCUCCACCUACUCCAGGGCUGGCCUUAAAUACAAAAGGCUAACAGAAUAGAUGCAAACCCUUUCCUAAGUAGUUCAUUCUUGUUUCCUCACUUCACUACAACUGAAACCAUGCCUAUUCCAGUGACCUUAUACACCUCUCCCUCUCCGUUUUGCCACCAAUCCCUCCAUACCUCCACUCUCUGAUUCUCGCUCCUCUUUGCUGAUUUUCUCCAGAAGGUUUGAGCACAUUUUAUUCAAGCUCUGGAUCUGCUUCUGUAACACAGACAAAUUUGUGCAGAGAUUAGGGUAAGUAGGAAAUGAUUACGGAGAAGUGCUCUUCCAGAGUCAGCUUAGGUGUAACCAACUGUGUAUCCCUACUAGACAGGAAUGGUUAAUGCCUAGCUUCUUGUGAUGGGUCAGGGAUGGGAGUAGCAGGGCAAUGAUGCAGUCCAACCUGAGCUGCAUCAGCACCAAUGCGGGCAGCAUCUGUUGUCAAUUGCUUCUCCUGCUCUUCGACCUCAGGGUCAGGCUUGGUUCUCAGAUGGUCAGGGACCACCUCAUGGCUGAAAACGGGCACCCGUCCUUCUGUCUGCCGCUGUAACACACAGAUAUCAUUGAUUCUACCAUGCACUCCAAGAAGACAAUCUGGCCUGAUAUACAGUCCUUUCCACAGGCAGUGUAUUUUCAGGGAAGGCACAAACUGAAACACAAUAUCUAGCUUCCUAGGACACCAUCCCUUUCACUCCAUUUUCAUUUCUGUCUUCUCACACCCAUCUCUACCAGACCUAGGGGCAAAUUAAACUCUUUCUGCUACAUUUUAAUCAAAGACUGGAAUAGACAAAGUCACAAAAGAACAAAUUUUUUUGCUAGGGAUAGAUGUUGGAGGAGAAAGGUCUUUGUCUUGGUGACAUGGGCUUCAGGUUAUUACAGCACUAUUUGGGAGUGGCUCCCCCACCUCCAGAAGGAUAAAAAGUAAGGCCUCCAAAAUGCAGCCCUUGCUUCUUAUUGCCACAUACUACUAAACAUCCAAGACUUCUAGAAUAACCAAUCAAGUAUUAUGCUCUAGACUUUGAUCCAAGAACUUAAUUUUCCAAGUUCUACCUUUUUCUCCUCUUACCAUGAGAUCUUCAUCUCGGUCUGGGGACAACACCAGAGGGAUGAUGACCUGGUUACGGAACAGUGGUGUCUUUUCAUGCUUCAACACCUUGUUCAGAGUGUUCAACUGUCCAGAGAGCAAGGCAAAGCUGUCCAAUACAGAGGGCCUGGUGGUGGUAAGGAGUUAGAAUGUUCCACUCAUUCUCUGGAGUAGUUCACAGUAAAGCAAUCUAUAAGGAGUCCUUCAGACUAGGAACAUCCAGAAUUACCCUCAAAAGACUCAUAGCCCUAUAACCAGCCUAGAUGGGAACCAGACUGGCUAGCAGCAAUGAUGGGGUUAGGAAAGAGGGACACGCUUUCAGUUUCUGACACAUGUAAAAAAUAGCCAGUUCACCUAUUCUCCCCUUUCAAAGAUGGUUGUCCUCUUGGGGGCUUGUAACAGGCCCUGGGAAGUGGUUUCUACAACUUCGCCCUGGCUGAGGAGGGAACAGCUCUGCGUGGCUGUCAGGCUGUGGCUCCACACUCUGUCUAUAGCCCAGCACUUUGGUAGUGUCACCCUGUCUGCCAUGUGAGGAAGCUGAGUGGGAAGCACCAUCCAGAGGUGCAAUGAGCCAGUGUGGAUACAGGGCUGGGGUCUGUGGCAUCCCCAGGCACUGAGGGGUGGGCCGUGGACAGUGCUGUGCCUGCCACUAGCUUUGCAGACCCUCUGUCCACUCUUCCCCUUAGCAGGGUAUACCAGGUGGAUGCCCUAGCAGGCCCUACCUUUGUGGCUCUGCCUCUUGGGUGUACUCCCCACCACUGGUCCUCCCCAAGGUGGGGCUCAGGUCGAGUCCCUUGGGAGUGUGGCGAGCAAGAGGGCACACUUUACGCUGUGCCUACCCCAGGCUCAGGGUUCCACUGUCACGGCCACCUGUCCCUAUAAGUGACAUGUUGGUAUUAGGAUUUUGGGGUGAAAUAAUCUCAUGCUCUGUACAUGGACUUACAUGCCUCAUUGGAAGUGAUAUUGGGAGGAAAACAGGUGUGUGUCACCUUUCCAACUUGCGAUUCUGUUUCCUAUAGAAGAGUCAUUUUAGACAGAGGUAGGUAGAGGAAGAAAUAACCUAGCCAUGGUAAUCACUUGAUUUCCCAAGUGGAAAUGGCUCACAGAGGAGUUGGUGGAUGCCUGUCUUGAGUCAGCACAGUGGGGCAGUACACCCUGGGCUCAGGUUCCUAGAGCAAGCCCUGGGACAAGCUGGAAAUUGGUGAGGAGGGUUGUGAGAAGUACAAGAAGCUGACAGAGGUUUCGGGGUCUCCUGGGGCCCAGUCGUUGGCACUAAGGCAACCCCAAGUCCUCAGUGACCUCUGGGGAAAGCAUUACAUUUGGUUCAAGAGUGGUGUUUAAAAUUUAUGUUGUCAGUGACUAAAAUACUGUUUACAUAAAAAACUAUUUUUCCAAUUCUAACAAGUUAGAAGUGAAAAGGAAUGAGCAUGAAUGUUGUAGGAAACUGCCAGCUGGUGACGGGCUGCUGUCCGUUCCCCGCUGCCUGUGGGGCUGCUCUUCUGUCUGCCCCAGGUCUAGAGACCUGGAGGCCUGGCAGUCCUGUCCAAUAGAGGAAGGAAAGAUUCCUGAGGAGUCUUGGAGAAAAGGUUUCAUGCCCUUGGGUGGGGCUUACCCCCUCAUAUUUAUAAUCUUAAUUUAUACAGUGAUUACCUUGGAAGCAAAUGUGUCUUGUAUUGUUAUGUACAUAGUCCAUACCUGAGUGUUGUAAAUAAGUUGUUCUGUGCAUAAAUAAAACA